AUAUAAUAACCGGCAAACUUCUUGAGCAUUUGUUGACGUAGUGGGGGUAAGUUUGCGCAUGGUACACUCACGUGCAAAAACAUUACUUACUCUGCGUCAUAAUGCAAUUAAAUUAUUAAAAUCAACAUAUGUAUUUAUUUAUAUAUUUAUUAGAACAUCAACAAAACAUAUAGGUUAAUAAUUGUAAUAAUUUAAUCUUGGGGUAAAAUAGAUAUUCCUUCUAUUAAGUCAAAACUAGAGCUGUUGCCAGGUCUUGGUUCAGUUGAAGCGAAGCUGGUAUUUGUAAUUUUUUUUUUCGUUAUCAUAAUCUUGACCAUCAUCAUCACUGUUUUUAUCACCCGAGUUGCUAUCAUCGUGAUGAGUCGACAUAGGGAUCAUCGGUGUAGUUUACAACUCGGUCGGUUCGGUCUACUUUUUUGUCUAUAAUUAAUUAUUUUUUGAAGAUAUUCGAUUCGUAGUAAUCGAAUGUAACUUUUUUCAAUUACCAGCUUCCGAUUAUUUUCUGUUUUUUUUCCAUCUGAAGCCUAGCUCUUUCAUAAUUCGUCGUAAACUUCAUACCGAGCCAUUAAAAUUUAUAUCUUCUUUAAAUUUUUCGAAGCCUUUCUACGGUACGGAGUUUCGCUGCUUGUUAUGUAGUUAUUAUGAUUACAUCUUUUUAUUACAGAUUGAACGAAACUAUGCAUUCCGGUAAAUUUCUUCUUCCCUGAUCUUUUCUUACCCGGAGUCCGCAACACGGCGAGCAAGCCAGAGCCUUUAGCUUCGUUAAUAAUGCACCUAACAGUACUCACUGAUGUUUUUGUUGCUUCCGAAGUCUGUUUUAAUUUUUCCAUAUCAUUCUUCCCCUGUUUUAUAAUGAAGCAAUAUACGUCGUACACAAAUUUUCUACUCUUUCUUUUAAGUACUACACCAGUUUGUCACGGCAUGGUGUACGUUUUAUAAAAAAUCAACAAACACUCAACAAAUAGCAAUGGCAACAAAGUCCACAAGCAAUUAUAACAAAUAACGUAACGAUUAAUAACGAUAGACUUUCCACUGUACGCAAGCGUACUUUUGGGAGCAAGCGGAAUGAGGGCGCGGUGCGGGACGCAAGGUUCGACUGAUCUACCAAUAACGCGCUCGAUACGAUUUCCCCUGCCGUCGCGCCUCAUCCUCACCACCAAAGUGAUCUAAAAUUCGGUUCUGCGCAGUCAAGGUCAUUUGCUCAAGAAGUUUGCCGAUUACUAUACCGGCAUUACUGUUUAAACUUUAUUUGCGACAAAAUCUGUGACGAAAGUGUUGUUGUCUUCGGCGUGCAGAAAAAGUUUUCUAGAUAGUGACAGUAUUUAAAGAUAUAAGUUCGCAUUUAACAUACCUACUCGUAUGUAUGAUCGCUCUGCUAGCCGAUAUGGUAGUAUAUUGGGACGUUGACAAAAUUCUAACAUGUUUUGAUUUAAAUCAAUGUUACAUUAAUAAUGCCAGGCGGCCCUGGCCUGUUACACAUUUCAUAAUCACUGAGAAGUAUUUCGGAUGUCAGCGAAAAAUCAACAAGAGUAUAAAACUGCAGCAUUUUACUCUUGCGAUGAGUUAAAGCGAUAUUAGAAAAUUACUGCAGUGCUCCAUUUUUUGGUGCUCUUUUUGUAUGCAUUCUAUUUAUGAUCAUUUUCCCGAAGACGAGCGCGAGGUUUGGAAGGAAAUCAUCAUCAUCAUCAUCAUCAUCUCUGCCUGUCCACUGUCCACUGCUGAACAUAGGCCUCUUCAACUGAUGUCCAGUGCGGCCGGUCCGUUGGCAUCUGCAUCCAACGUGCCGUGGGAGGAAAUAAUUAAUAGUUAUUGGAGAAAGUAUUAUUUCGUUCGGUAGAGAAUGGCGCUUAGCGCAGCAGAAAGAGCCAAGCGAUAUCGCGAAAAAUUAAAGCAAAAUUCUGAAAAAUAAUCCUGUAGGUAGGUGUAAGUAAAAAUAUAAAAUAAUCACCAACGACUCCUAAGUCUUUGAAUACUUUUAUGUGUAUAAAAAAAGGUUUAAUGAAUCUUAAUUUUACGCUCUUUGUGACUGUGUUUUAAAUUGGCAGUGUGGAUACUGCUUAAAUUAUUCCUAUUCGUCACGCAAUUUUCAUAAUAGUCACUGUGCUAUAUUCUAAAUUGUACAAAACUAGUUUUAAAAGUAUCUAGAUUUCUUUAGAGUAUUAAGUUUUGAAACUAUUAGAAUUUUGUUAUUGCCGAAAAUUCCUCACUUUGCUUGAUUUAUGAAUUUGUAACACGUAUCAUUAGUAAACAACAACUUUUCUAGGGCGAUGUGUCUAAGAAGUGACGAAAAUGAAACUAUUUGGCUGAUUAUUUAUAAUUGCGAUAGAAUUAUGCUAAAUUUUUGGAAACAUUUUUAGCAUAUCCUUAUGCUAAUAUAAGUUGAUUUUGUUUCAAUA